rnacentral:rRNA from 1 species
AGUCACUGACAUUAGAUACCCCUGUAGUCCCAGCCGUAAACAAUGUGCGUUAGGUGUGUCGGUAACCACGCGUUACUGAUGCGCCGAAGAGAAAUCGUGAAACGCACCACCUGGGAAGUACGGUCGCAAGGCUGAAACUUAAAGGAAUUGCGGGGGAGCACCACAACAGGUGGAGCCUGCGGUUUAAUUGGAUUCAACGCCGGACAUCUCACCGGAUAAGACAGCUGAAUGAUUGUCAAUCUGAAGGUUUUACAUGACUAGCUG